AAAAGCAUGAAAAAAAGAACUCAAACGGCGCUGGCAAAUUCAUUUCUUGUGCUUCUUCUUCUUCUUGUCCUUACCUUUCCGAUCCUUCUUCUUCUUGUCUUUAGAUUUUUU
rnacentral:ribozyme from 11 species